rnacentral:rRNA from 1 species
GACGAACGCUGGCGGCGUGCCUAAUACAUGCAAGUCGAACGGUCUUUUCUAUGGAAGCUUGCUUCCACUGGGAAGAUAGUGGCGAACGGGUGAGUAACACGUGGGUAACCUGCCCAUAAGAGGGGGAUAACAUCCGGAAACGGGUGCUAAUACCGCAUAGUUUUCUUGAUCACAUGAUCGAGAAAGGAAAGACGGCCUUUGUGCUGUCGCUUAUGGAUGGACCCGCGGCGUAUUAGUUAGUUGGUGAGGUAACGGCUCACCAAGACGAUGAUACGUAGCCGACCUGAGAGGGUGAUCGGCCACAUUGGGACUGAGACACGGCCCAAACUCCUACGGGAGGCAGCAGUAGGGAAUCUUCCGCAAUGGACGAAAGUCUGACGGAGCAACGCCGCGUGAGUGAAGAAGGUUUUCGGAUCGUAAAACUCUGUUGUCAGAGAAGAACAAGUCGGAGAGUAACUGCUCCGGCCUUGACGGUAUCUGACCAGAAAGCCACGGUUAACUACGUGCCAGCAGCCGCCGUAACAC